UACGUAGGGUGCGAGCGUUAAUCGGAAUUACUGGGCGUAAAGUGUGCGCAGGUGGCCGCGCAAGUCGAGUGUGAAAUCCCCGGGCUUAACUUGGGAAUUGCGCUCGAAACUACGUGGCUAGAGUGUGGCAGAGGGAGGUGGAAUUCCACGUGUAGCGGUGAAAUGCGUAGAGAUGUGGAGGAACACCAAUGGCGAAGGCAGCCUCCUGGGCCAACACUGACACUCAUGCACGAAAGCGUGGGGAGCAAACAGG
rnacentral:rRNA from 1 species